rnacentral:rRNA from 1 species
AGUGAACGCUGGCGGUAGGCCUAACACAUGCAAGUCGAACGGCAGCACAGUAAGAGCUUGCUCUUACGGGUGGCGAGUGGCGGACGGGUGAGGAAUACAUCGGAAUCUACUUUUUCGUGGGGGAUAACGUAGGGAAACUUACGCUAAUACCGCAUACGACCUACGGGUGAAAGCAGGGGAUCUUCGGACCUUGCGCGAUUGAAUGAGCCGAUGUCGGUUUAGCUAGUUGGCGGGGGAAAGGCCCACCAAGGCGACGAUCCGUAGCUGGUCUGAGAGGAUGAUCAGCCACACUGGAACUGAGACACGGUCCAGACUCCUACGGGAGGCAGCAGUGGGGAAUAUUGGACAAUGGGCGCAAGCCUGUUCCAGCCAUACCGCGUGGGUGAAGAAGGCCUUCGGGUUGUAAAGCCCUUUUGUUGGGAAAGAAAAGCAGCAGGUUAAUACCCCGCUGUUCUGACGGUACCCAAAGAAUAAGCACCGGCUAACUUCGUG